CUCAAAGGAAAUGCCUGUCCCUAUUGUUAGCCUUCUCCAUGCCUCUCCCAAGGUCAUGCUGGGACAAGGGUCUGAUGUAAGAGGGAAGCUUGUCUGCAACAGUUUGGUCCACCAAGUUACAAAAGGAAAAAAAGGAGUUCACAGAAAUGUGAUAGAUGAGACCAGAGGAAUGUGACUAUACAAGAAGAGGAAAAAUCAAUGGGCGUCUCAGACUGUGAAGAUGAGUGAUGAUGAUGAACAGUGAUUUUUAAAAAAACACACAAAAACA